rnacentral:rRNA from 1 species
AGUCUGACCUGCCCAAUGAUAUUUUUAUUAAAUGGCCGCGAUAAUUUGAUCGUGCAAAGGUAGCAUAAUAAUUAGUUUUUUAAUUGAGAACUGGAAUGAAAGGUCGAACGAGAAAAAGACUGUCUCUAUUUAAUUUAUAUUAGAAUUUUAUUUUUAAGUAAAAAAGCUUAAAUUAUUUUAAAAGACGAGAAGACCCUAUAGAGUUUUAUAUUUGUUAUGUUAUUUUUUAUUUUAAGAAUUUAGAUUUAAAAUUUAAUAAUAAAUAUUUAGUUGGGGUGAUUGAAAAAUUUAAUAAACUUUUUUUAUAUUUAAACAUUAAUAUAUGAUUAAAUGAUCCAUAAAUUAUGAUUAAAAGAUUAAAUUACCUUAGGGAUAACAGCGUAAUUUUUUUUGAGAGUUCUUAUCGAAAAAAAAGUUUGCGACCUCGAUGUGGG